CCAAACAGAGCUAACCAACCACGAGGCUUCAACAAAUUCUCUACUCUCUCUCUACACGUCGCCAAAGCCUUUGCUUGAAAAUCUUUUCCUGCUCGCAUAUAAACCCACGUCCCCUGCUUCUCCCCCUCUCAAAGUAAAAAAUAAACUCUCCCCUGCUUUCUCUCUGUUUUCGAGCUCUCCAAAAUUCACUCCACAAAUACCAGAAGACAAGAUUUCUUCAUCACUACAAGCAGAAACACCAAUAAACGAACAACGACAACACCCCUUUGGAUUUCUUUUACCUCUCUUCGUUGCGCUCGCUCUCUCUCUUAAGUAUUCAUUUUCUAGAGAUUGAUUGCUCAAGAUUUGAUAUGUCUGGUAUCCGAUGCUGUUUUUACUUCAAUCGGAUUAGCCAUUAAAUCCCAUACAAGAUUCUCAAAUCUCUUUUUACCAAAUUUGGAUCUUGGUAUUGCUGCUUUUCAUUUUUCUUCUUUUGAGAAUUGCUUUCUUGUUUUUGAUACAUUUGAUUCCAAUCUUCUUUACCACAUUUUCUUUGGUAUCUUGUCCUCUCUCAAAAAAUUCUCUUAUAUCCCUUUGCACAUAAUAUAAUCUUUUCAGAGAGAGCGAGCGAGAAGGUGAUUAUCA
rnacentral:lncRNA from 1 species